CAUAAUCCAGUUUUAAAAGAUACAAUGAGUACAACAAACUAUAUUCAACAAAAAAAACCAAGUUUUAACUAAAACAAGUGCUGCAUAUUACAUAAUUUUGAUUGGUAACUAAUUGUUUUGGGCUAGUUUAUCCAUGAUCACUUGAGUUGAACACUGAGAUGGUGCUUGUGGCCCAACUUUGUUUCUUCUACUAGCACUUGUUUG
rnacentral:lncRNA from 1 species